rnacentral:sRNA from 2 species
CACGUGCUCACGCGCGCUCAUGAAGUUCUCCCACGCCUCCUCGCGAUUCCGCCCCACAAUCGCGCACAUCUUAACACCCUAACGAUUCUUCCGCCCCGCGCUCCCCCAGAGCGCGACCUCCGAUAUUUCUUCCGCUCCGAUCCCCUUGCCUAUAAGAACCCCCUCGUACGACCCCUUCUUCUGAUCUUCUUUCUCUUUCUUUCCUUAAUCGAUUCGUAAACUGUUAUCAGGAUAGUGUCAAGUCCGUUGAUAUUGCCGUUGGAACGGAUCGUACGAACUGCGCAGGCGGUACGAACGGUUUAAUCUGCAACAUCGGUAACAUCUGCUUAAUCGGUGGCACGCCCGUUACAAGUAUUCAUUUUAUUAUAGAGCUGCAGUAUCACACUCUUACUGAGAUGAUUGACAAUAACUAGAACAUUUGUAGAAUCAUCACUCUCAGAUAAGAAAACUGUGAAGUCAAUAGCUAUAUCACAUCAAGUUCAUUCAGAGACAGGCAGAGAUUUUAGCAUUUCUUUUCAGUGCUCAUAUCAUGCUGUUACUGAGCUGCAGCAGUCACAAUUGUGUAUAAACUGAUAUAUAUUCUUCAAUAUAUUCAGUCAGUAGAAUUCUUGAGUGAUGAUGCUGUAUAUAAUCUCACACUCUGAGUGCUCAGUCAUUAGCAAGUUAUGAAUAUUCUGCAUAAUCUGUAUUUGUAAGAGUUCUGAAUUAG